GGAAGAGUGAGUGGCCCUGGAGCUGGGCCUUCCAGUAGGAGCAGGGUUUCUGCAGGGAAGCAGAGAGAGGAGCCCGGGAGAAGGCACACGGGUUCUUCUCAGCCACCGUCAACAACCCCAGCUGCUACCAAGGUGCAAGAACACACAGGCUGCUGUGAAAGGACUGUAGGGGGCAAGGGCAGAGGAAGGGGCCAGCCAGGAGGCUUCCAAAAUAAUCCAGGCAGGAGAGGAUGGUGGCCUGGACAAGGGUGGCAGAUGAGGAAACUGCCGCUCAGAGACGGCAGCCGACCCAGCCAAGGCCGCACAGCCAGGAUUCAAAGCCAUACCGCUCAGCUCCUGCCUCCAGGCUCUGCCUUUGCAUGUGGCUUCUCCUGGCUCCUGGACCCUUCCCCGGCCCUCCCAGCUGGCUGUGCUGUGACAGUGGGCGGGGGAGUGCCAAGGCUCUGCCCUGCCCCCCGCCCUUGGCAUCUCCGGUCAAUAUGGCACUCACAGCUCCCUGGGCAUGGACCCCCUCCUGCCAUCCCCACUUAAAGUGAUACUUUAAUAAAUUAUGCUUUUAUGUUAUUACACGUGGAGCUAUAAAAGCAGAGAGUGUGCGGCCGGGCUGAGGUAAGGCGCCCGCGACUUUCCAAUUUCCUGGUCUGGCCUGGCUCUGCUCCGCACCGUGAAUUUUUCAUUAAUGUGCACAGGUGACGCCACGGGGCAGCCGCAGGCCAGUCAUAGUUACAGAGGCAAUGGACACAUUGAAGAGAGGAAAGAAAACAAACACGACCUAGAAUCUACGGGGAAGGAAGCCUUCUAGACUCCAGACCUUCCGUGUCCAGAAGUGUCAGUCUUCACAUCUGUGAGGUGGGGCCAAGGAGUCCUGCCCUGCCAUGCUGGGUGUUGACUUCGGGGAAGGGGCCUUGGGAUGUCUAUGAGGAUGCAGCUGCUGCCUUCUGUCUUGGCAGAGACCAUGGCCACCCCAGGACACCGUGUUUGGUCCCCGCUGUGCUAAGUCUCCUCCAGGCACCAGCCAGGCAUCAGUGGAGCACAGCGGAAAUGGGUCCAAAGCCACCCACAGAGGCUCUGUGUGGUUCUUGGAUAAUUCUGGAAGGCUCUAGAGAAGGCAACAAGAAGGCAGGAACCCAGGGCCAGAAACUGGACAACUUGUGUGUGUUUGUCUGUAAAGUGGGGCUAGGAAUCCGCGUGGGGGUCAAAUGAGAACAGCUCUGCCUCCCAGCGCACAGUCCCGCGUCGAGGUCAGAGAGCCUCUUAGGCCCUGGCUCUUUUGGGAAAUCAUCCCAGGGGCUAAAGACAAAACUGAAGUUGAAAUAAACAUGGGGGUCCAAACACUCCAGAAUUCUGAGUGAGGGAAUCUCCUCCCAGGCUUCCACGCCAGGCCCGAAUGCAAACAAGAGGCAGCAGGGGUGGCUUGGGCCCCUCACACAGAAUUAGUGAGAUUAGCUGAGAACCAGAGCCCAGCAGAUGUCCCCUCUCUGGACUCGGUGACUCACUUGCCUCCCUGGUUGAGAAUCGUAUCCGGCUGGGCCUGAGCUGUCCUGGCUGGCGGGGAGCUGGACGCAGGGCAGAGGUCGGGGUAAACACCCGUGCUCCAGGCGGGAGGUCGGGAUGGGGGUGGUGACAAGGAGGACAACAUUUCCACUCAGCAGAAAGAAGAGCCUGAGCUGCCCUAGAGCCGGAGGCGCUGCCUGGAGAGGUCGUGAGGACCCGGUCCCAGAGGUGUGCAAGCUGGGUACCCUUUGAAGACUAUAGGAGGAUUCCAGUUGGCGCUGGGAGUACUCCAGGCAGGAUGCCAGUUCAGGUCCUUCGUGCAUGAGACUCUCCCAGAGAGGCAGGCAAACAUUUUCUGGGAAGGGCCAGAUAGUAAAUAUUUCAGGUUUUGCGGGUCAUCCUGCUAUCUCUGUUGCAACUGCUCAACUCUGCCACUGUAGCUUGGAAGCAGCUACAGACAAUACAUAAAUGAAUGGAUGUGGG
rnacentral:lncRNA from 1 species